UAACCCAUGGGUAAGAUAUGCAAUCCUGGCUGUUUAUGUCUAUCCCUAGCUGUUUAUGUCUAUCCCAGCGGGGCUAAGCAAACAUCUUUCAAAGAAGGAAUUGGUAAUCGCACAUAUGAGACGGAUUAAAUAGCUACCUAAAACAAGUGAUCAAAGAGGUUUGUUUCUUUCGUAGCGAUUCGAAAUCCUUCACCCUUUCUUUUAGAAGGACAGAUCUGCUUCGUCGCUUUCCAAAACUAUAGUAGUACUUCACUUUAGACUCUUGCUCGCCUUAAGGCACAGGAACACUUGCAGGAAAUAGUGGUUUAGUUUGGUUUUAGUUGACAUGGAAAAGUGACAUCGAGGAACAACACUUCUUACCCAACAACAUAAAAGAACCCGGGAUAUAUGUCUUCGUCUUGAUAAAUCCAUGGCGGGGUCGGCAAAAUAGAGUAGGUGUAUUUGAUUUGGGUAAAUCUACUUAGUAUACUUCCGUUGCUGGUGCUACCGUCAAUAUGGUCCUCCAAAUCCCUAUACUAUAGUAGUAGUAGGUGCCUGGACCCAAAACUCGUAGGUGCCUGGACCAAAAAGGAGCUCCUACGCCCGUUUUCACUUGGCCAAUUACAAUGAAGAAAGCAUCCGUUGGUCAAUGAAGAAAGCAUCUGGCUCUAUAAUUUGAUGUUAACCUAUAGGCUCCGGAGCCAUCACCCUAUCAUUUGCAGACGGAAUCAAUUCCCCUAUUUAUUCCCACAGUAAGGCGCUGGAAGUCUUUUCAUCACUAACCUGGUCAAUGCCCGAACUGAAGGAACUGACCUAAGCAUGGCUCUUCCUACUAAAGGAAAGAAUCACUGACCGAACCGAAGGAUCAUUUAUUGCAUUGUUCUUUUGAAUCUAUCUAUUGGUCUAUGCGGAAUUAGCCCUCCUUACAUCUUUAUCUAGUCUUAGUUCUGGUUUGAACAGAUCCCUUUCUGCCUUUGCUUUGAAUUUCCGGGGGAGUGGGGAUUUGCGACCUUCUGCCUCCACUGCUUCCACUUCCACUUCUCUUACACUGAUGAGUCUAGUUUUUCCCAAGUAUAGUAUUACAGUGAAUUAUGACAUAUCUAAAAGCCAGAGAAGCCUGUUACUCUCUUACAUAGUUUAUACCUGUUACUCUCUUACAUAGUUUAUACCAGAUAGAAACUUAGUCUAACACAAGAUCUUGUUUAAGCUCAGCCAGGACCUGAAAGAGAUCAGUAAACCAACGCUUCUUCCUCUACAGACUCAAGCCAUGAGACAGUUCCAGACAACAUGCAUGCCUGAGGUACGCCAUUCCUCUCGUAUCUCUCGUCCUGUUAUUUGCUUUCUUUCAUGCAAUUCUUUUGUCUCCUACUUUAUUGUUCAUUCUGU
rnacentral:lncRNA from 1 species